UCUUGACACGUCACAAAUCAACUGUAGCUGAAUUCCUUUCAAAGAAUUAUGACUGGGUAAAGGAUUUUGGUUUGCUGCAUGCAUAUUCUGUUAUCUCUCUCUGUUGCCCCCUCCCUCUCUCAGUGUGCCUGUGUGUCUAACAAAUAUCGAAUGUACCCUAUUUGGAGCUUCAACAAAAAGAUUUUCUUGGAUAUUUUACAAAUGCUACUAUGUCAGAUUUUGUGCAAAAUUCACAGCUACUAAGUGGACUCAAGAUUUAUGAAGAUAAAGCUUCUUUUUUGGCUCGUGAAGUAUUUUGGAAGUUUUUAUGACUUUUGAGGCUCGGAUGCUUUUUGUAAACUUGAUUGACUUUGCAUGAACAAUUUGGGUUACACAGUACCACUUCUAUUGUAGUAUUUGUAGGAUGACAUUGAACUUAAACAUUAUAUUUUGGUCCUUUGUAGCAUAAUGGAUGCUUUUAGCUAUUAAUUAGCAGGCCUUUUAUGGUUCUGUUGAUUU